ACCCUUCAGCUGGGCAAGCUGCAUCACCACACGGCACUCAUCCUCAGACAGAAAACCCGGGAUCUCUGCAGAAACACAAAAAGUACAGAUGCAUUUCUGCCCUUUACCCAGUCAGCUGUGAGACCCUAAUUGCAUCCCAUGUGCAAUGGACCGACUUUGUAUAGAGUAGUUGCCUUAGGACUUACUUGCCUAUUUUAUGAGGUCCUAGAUGUAGCACAAUAAUCAGCCCAGUCUGGGUUAUGUUAAGCUACGUGGCUGUGCAGCCUCUUACCAAAAAGAAGCGGUUUCAGGCUCAAAGUCCUCAUCUCGUGAAGUCUCCCUGACACCAGUGACAC